AGAGAGGGAGGGAAGAGCCGAGUUCGGGCGGAAGAGAGAGACGUGUGCCGGCGACCUAGAAGAGAAGAGGAGAGGAAGAAAGAGAGGAAGAAAGAGAAAAAGAGAGAGAGGAGGGGGGACGUCGCGAAGAGGGAAGGCUGGAAGAGAAAAUAAAGGGAAAGAGGAAGAAGAGGGAGGCGGCGGAUCGACGGAGAGGAAGACGAGGAGUCGCGACCGUGAGACGACCCCGAGACCAGUGAUUUCCGAGAGCUAAAUCGCGCCUAACGCCUGUGGCGGAAUUCCGAGGCCAAACCGCGCAUUCCGGCUCGAAAUUUGCCUCGUGUUUAGGAACCCGACUUCUCUGGGUUGAAGGAGAUCGGUUCUGGGUAUUCUCCGGAAACCUCUUUAGAACCAGAGCCCGUGCCGUCGUGAUUCUAAGCUGUUAAGUGAGCGUUUAGGACGAUCUGUGCGAAGGAGUUUGGUAAGUAUUCCGUAUUCUGAUCCUGAGAUGGUAUUUGAAUUCUAUGCAUGAAAAUUAUUGAUUUUGUGUGUUUGAGCACAGGACAGGUACUGAAUUGAUAUCCUAAUGAAGAACAGAACCUGGACACUUUCCAGGCAGUGGGAACUGUCAAGAAUGAGUUUGGGAACACUUGAUUAUUCCUGGUUAAUGCAUCAUUGGACAUUGUCACGCUUGAUUGUGUAACAUGUGACAAGUGAACCUUAGCUUGUGUGGGAAUAUGAGGAGUAUGGAAACCAAAAAAAUUAAAGAUUGAUAAAUGUGUGAAAAUUCGUGAUAAGAGAUAAUGGAGACAGAACUUGAAAAUAAAAAUCUAUAAAUUUAAAAAGAAA